GUUAGGAAUAUUGGACAAUGGGCGCAAGCCUGAUCCAGCCAUGCCGCGUGAACGAUGAAGGCCUUCGGGUUGUAAAGUUCUUUAGCCGAUGAUUAUAAUGACUGUAGUCGGAAAAUAAGUCCCGGCUAACUUCGUGCCAGCAGCCGCGGUAAUACGAAGGGGGCGAGCGUUAUUCGGAAUCACUGGGCGUAAAGCGUGCGUAGGCGGUCUCGUAAGUUAGGAGUGAAAGCCCAGGGCUCAACCUUGGAAUUGCUCUUAAAACUGCAAGGCUAGAAUAUCGGAGAGGAUAGCGGAAUUUCCAGUGUAGCAGUGAAAUGCGUAGAUAUUGGAAGGAACACCAGUGGCGUAAGCGGCUAUCUGGACGAGUAUUGACGCUGAGGUGCGAAAGUGUGGGGAGCAAACAGGAUUAGAAACCCCAGUAGUCC
rnacentral:rRNA from 1 species